rnacentral:rRNA from 1 species
GGCAAAGUUAGCGGCGGACGGGUGAGUAACACGUGGGUAACCUGCCCAUAAGACUGGGAUAACAUUCGGAAACGAAUGCUAAUACCGGAUACGCGAAUCGGUCGCAUGAUCGAAUCGGGAAAGGCGGAGCAAUCUGCCGCUUAUGGAUGGACCCGCGGCGCAUUAGCUAGUUGGUGGGGUAACGGCUCACCAAGGCGACGAUGCGUAGCCGACCUGAGAGGGUGAUCGGCCACACUGGGACUGAGACACGGCCCAGACUCCUACGGGAGGCAGCAGUAGGGAAUCUUCCGCAAUGGACGAAAGUCUGACGGAGCAACGCCGCGUGAGUGAUGAAGGUUUUCGGAUCGUAAAGCUCUGUUGCCAGGGAAGAAUGCUUGCGAGAGUAACUGCUCGCAAGGUGACGGUACCUGAGAAGAAAGCCCCGGCUAACUACGUGCCAGCAGCCGCGGUAAUACGUAGGGGGCAAGCGUUGUCCGGAAUUAUUGGGCGUAAAGCGCGCGCAGGCGGCCUUGUAAGUCUGUCGUUUAAACUCGGAGCUCAACUUCGAGUCGCGAUGGAAACUGCAAAGCUUGAGUGCA